UGAUGUUGUUUUUUUAAAUUAUAUUAUUCAAUACAAAAAUAUAUAUGGUUUUCAAAGUACUGUGAUUUUAAUAAAGAUAUCCAAUAUUUGUUUAUUUAGAUCCCACACUCUGAAGAUACUGUAUGUAUGGUGCAGCUUAAGGCGUCUGGAUUUGGUCAGCGGCAACAACAACUGAGGUGUGCUGAGCUGUGAAGCACCGCAGUAGUUAAGAAUUAAGGAAAGCUGAGGCAGACGUGUCAGGGGAAGCGUCAGCCCUUGUCGUGUGAAGACCGAGCUCGUGUAAAGACCUGUGAGUCUACCUGCGCGAGUCCACCGAGCAAGGACACCAACAAGACACCACUCUCACUGCUAAUUUUUCCCUGUUUAUUUGCCACAGGCGCAGACCGAGGCAUACUCCCAGAAAAGUACACAACUUGGACAACCUACGCUCUCUGAAUGUGGCCUCUGCAGAUUUCCCUCUCAUUCUCUAUCGGACAUUGGAACUGCCAAUCGGCCAUCAAG
ensembl:lncRNA